rnacentral:misc_RNA from 1 species
UUGAAAACAACAAACGCCUGAAAAAUAUGUUUUGUUUUUUAUUUGUUAAUAAAGUACAUAUUAAUAAAAAUUAUUUGAAAGUAUGUACAUGAAAAUUCUUUACAUGAACUAGCUAGAAUUCUUUUUUUAUAUCUAUUUAUGAUUUUAUUAAGUAUUUUAAAUAAAAAAUUAAUAGGUGUUUGCUACUUUUACUACCAUACUGUUACUAUGUCAUGAAGUUAUGCUAUAACCAUACAUUUUUAUAUAAUUUAUUGCAAGUAAUGAGUACAUUGAACUUAGUCUAUAAGGAGUAAAUUAUUUUUUUUCUUUCACCGCCUAAUACCACAUUUUAAUGACAGUUGUACUUAUAAGUAAAUUAAUCUAUUGUCGUAAUUAAUUUAUUUAUAAAGGUGAACAAUAAAAUAGCUGCUAUAAUAAUUGAGUGAUGAGAUUAUCUAUAUCAAGACCUUGCCAGACUUUACAAGUUAUAUCAACACGUAAAUCAUUUUUGCAAUUCGCGCUUGCUUUCCCCUACCAAGUUCAACUGAACAGAAGUAAUAAAACCGCGCGGUUGUUGUCGUCGAGUGCAAGUGUAUCGUUGCGGACUUUGCAUUGUAACUUAUGUUUAUCAUCUCUUAAUUUUCCAAAGUAUUCUUCGCUCAGUAAUAAGCGUUUUAUGAGUAAUUGCGCCGAUAAAAAUAAGAAUAACGAAAUGGACCGAGAUCCAGCUUCUCAACAAUUAAAUGAAUACAAAGAGUCAAUGAAGGCAGUGGUUCAGUAUGGGAUUGCUUAAUUACAUGUAAUAUUUCAAAACCCAAGGAUUACACAGUUGAGAAUGAUGGCUAAAAAUGAAAAUUUUUCUUGAAAAUCAAUAUUUGAUAACAUCUUGCAAUAAGAUAAGUGAUUAUAAAUAUAUUACUUAAUCUUCCAAAACGUUAACAUGACAUGCAGUAACGUUUAUUAUUAAAUAUUUUUUUUUGAAUUGAUGAUAAUUGUAAUUUUUUACCAUUCAUUAUUUAUCCUAUAUUAUAAAAUAGAUGAAAGUCUUGAAGUUAGUCAAAGGUCGAAACUGGUUAAAAUUUAGGCGCACGCGUAGUUUUUUAUUAAAGCAUGUAUUAAAUUUUUAUAUUAAAUAAAUUACUUUUUAAUGUAAUCAAACCAAAAAUGUCA